CGCAGAAUUUAAGCGGAUCACAGCCCCUGCCCCUGCAGUCUAGGUUUCUUUCACAGCUAGAUUUGCUGACAAACUUCUGAAGCUGUUUGAAAAGAGAGGAGGGCAGAUAGGCAAGAAUCUACGGAGCAUUUCGUCACAAAUGAGUCAAGCCGGGAAUGCAUUCUUAAGGGGCUUUGUGUUUACCUCAGUGAUGACCCGGCAAAUCUCGUGUGAGAGUUUGUGGGAGAAGAUGAAUUCAUGCCAUCAAGGAGCCACCAAGGAAACCACAAUGGGGAUCUAUGUUGUGAGGCAUGAUGCCACCAGCAAACCAGAGGGCAUGGGGAUUGUCCUAGAAGGUCAGCAGGUACAGCAAGACCUGGACAACGUAGCAUUAGCUUCUGCCAUGUUAUUUGGCUUAGUGUAUUAUUUAAACCUUGACUACCCAAUAGAACUGAAGUACUUUUUGAAGGUAUUUAGGUCCUGC